GGGGAUUUAGCUCAGCGGCAUAAGCGCCUGUCUUGCAAGCAGGCAGUUGUGAGUUUAAUCCCUG
rnacentral:tRNA from 1 species